CCUACGGGUGGCAGCAGUGAGGAAUAUUGGUCAAUGGACGAACGUCUGAACCACCCAAGUAGCGUGAUGGAUGACUGCCCUAUGGUUUGUAAACUUCUUUUAUAAAGGAAUAAAACGAGGCACGUGUCCCUUUUUGCAUGUAUUUUAUGAAUAAAGAUCGGCUAACUACGUGCCAGCAGCCGCGGUAAUACGGAGGAUCCGAGCGUUAUCCGGAUUUAGUGGGUUUAAAGGGAGCGUAGAUGGGUUGUUAAGUCAGUUGUGAAAGUUUGGGGCUCAACCGUAAAAUUGCAAUGGAUACUGGCAGGCUUGAGUACAGUUGAGGUAAGCGGAAUUCGUGGUGUAGCGGUGAAAUGCUUAGAUAUCACGAAGAACCCCGGUUGCGAAGGCAGCUUACUAAACUGUGACUGACAUUGAUGCUCGAAAGUGUGGGUAUCAAACAGGAUUAGAUACCCGUGUAGUC
rnacentral:rRNA from 1 species